GGCAAUUCACUUCUGUGACUAUAAGUGAGCCCAUUUAGUGGCCAACUACUACUGGAGAAGGAUCUCUUUCUGGAGAUCCCUCCUUUUUGGAGUUGUCUGCUGAAAACCUGGCUCCUCAGAUAUGGGCUAUAUUACAGAGAGAAGGCAGAAAAAGUCAUUAAAUCUCUUUGGCCUGGAAAAGAGACAACUGACUGGAAACAAAAUUAUCAAAGAGGCUGGUUCCAGGAACCUGUCCGGAAGAGAAGAACUACAUACUCCUGGGGCCUUUGCAUUCAGAGAGGAGAUAUAACCCCCUGGCAAGGUCACCUGAUGUGCCUUUUUUUCUUCGGUUCUCCCUCAUCCUUGCUGCUUGACCCAACCGUGUGUCUCACCUCAGAGAAUAAAAUGCUGAUUCAUCAUGAUGAUGGACAAGACACACCGAGAACUCUGACAGGAGCCUGUUCUGGCAGAAGGGUUCUCAGCAGGGAAAUAUGGACAUAUUGGAAAAGGAAAGUCUGCUCCAGCUGGUCACGAUCCAGAUUUAUGUCAUUCCAGUCUAACAAGAAUCAUCCCUGGCUCCCUUGAGGCAGUGUCCAAUUAUAACUGGUCACUUCUGCAGCUGCAUGCAUAAUCUCUUAGUAAACAUAGAAUCAUUU
ensembl:lncRNA